rnacentral:snoRNA from 1 species
GAUCCUUUUAUAAGUGAGGAAGCUGAGGUUCCAGAAUGGCUAGCUUGAAUUAAAUUAGGUAGCUAGCCCCUCGGCGUCAUGUCUUCAGUGCCGAUGGUUGCCAGUCCGCCGGUUCUAUCCUUAAGCGCCGGGACACGG